GUACUCGCUUCGGCGGUACAUGUACUAGGAUUGGAACGAUACAGAGAAGAUUAGCAUGACCCCUGCGCAAGGACGACAAAAAAAAAAAAAAAAAGUGCCGGCACGGC